rnacentral:rRNA from 1 species
CCUACGGGAGGCAGCAGUGGGGGAUAUUGCACAAUGGGCGAAAGCCUGAUGCAGCGAUGCCGCGUGGAGGAAGAAGGUCUUCGGAUUGUAAACUCCUGUCUUUAGGGACGAUAAUGACGGUACCUAAGGAGGAAGCUUCGGCUAACUACGUGCCAGCAGCCGCGGUAAU